AGAGUUUGAUCCUGGCUCAGGAUGAACGCUGGCGGCGUGCCUAAUACAUGCAAGUCGAGCGAACGGACGAGAAGCUUGCUUCUCUGAUGUUAGCGGCGGACGGGUGAGUAACACGUGGAUAACCUACCUAUAAGACUGGGAUAACUUCGGGAAACCGGAGCUAAUACCGGAUAAUAUUUUGAACCGCAUGGUUCAAAAGUGAAAGACGGUCUUGCUGUCACUUAUAGAUGGAUCCGCGCUGCAUUAGCUAGUUGGUAAGGUAACGGCUUACCAAGGCAACGAUGCAUAGCCGACCUGAGAGGGUGAUCGGCCACACUGGAACUGAGACACGGUCCAGACUCCUACGGGAGGCAGCAGUAGGGAAUCUUCCGCAAUGGGCGAAAGCCUGACGGAGCAACGCCGCGUGAGUGAUGAAGGUCUUCGGAUCGUAAAACUCUGUUAUUAGGGAAGAACAUAUGUGUAAGUAACUGUGCACAUCUUGACGGUACCUAAUCAGAAAGCCACGGCUAACUACGUGCCAGCAGCCGCGGUAAUACGUAGGUGGCAAGCGUUAUCCGGAAUUAUUGGGCGUAAAGCGCGCGUAGGCGGUUUUUUAAGUCUGAUGUGAAAGCCCACGGCUCAACCGUGGAGGGUCAUUGGAAACUGGAAAACUUGAGUGCAGAAGAGGAAAGUGGAAUUCCAUGUGUAGCGGUGAAAUGCGCAGAGAUAUGGAGGAACACCAGUGGUGAAGGCGACUUUCUGGUCUGUAACUGACGCUGAUGUGCGAAAGCGUGGGGAUCAAACAGGAUUAGAUACCCUGGUAGUCCACGCCGUAAACGAUGAGUGCUAAGUGUUAGGGGGUUUCCGCCCCUUAGUGCUGCAGCUAACGCAUUAAGCACUCCGCCUGGGGAGUACGACCGCAAGGUUGAAACUCAAAGGAAUUGACGGGGACCCGCACAAGCGGUGGAGCAUGUGGUUUAAUUCGAAGCAACGCGAAGAACCUUACCAAAUCUUGACAUCCUUUGACAACUCUAGAGAUAGAGCCUUCCCCUUCGGGGGACAAAGUGACAGGUGGUGCAUGGUUGUCGUCAGCUCGUGUCGUGAGAUGUUGGGUUAAGUCCCGCAACGAGCGCAACCCUUAAGCUUAGUUGCCAUCAUUAAGUUGGGCACUCUAAGUUGACUGCCGGUGACAAACCGGAGGAAGGUGGGGAUGACGUCAAAUCAUCAUGCCCCUUAUGAUUUGGGCUACACACGUGCUACAAUGGACAAUACAAAGGGCAGCGAAACCGCGAGGUCAAGCAAAUCCCAUAAAGUUGUUCUCAGUUCGGAUUGUAGUCUGCAACUCGACUACAUGAAGCUGGAAUCGCUAGUAAUCGUAGAUCAGCAUGCUACGGUGAAUACGUUCCCGGGUCUUGUACACACCGCCCGUCACACCACGAGAGUUUGUAACACCCGAAGCCGGUGGAGUAACCUUUUAGGAGCUAGCCGUCGAAGGUGGGACAAAUGAUUGGGGUGAAGUCGUAACAAGGUAGCCGUAUCGGAAGGUGCGGCUGGAUCACCU
rnacentral:rRNA from 1 species